UAGCCGUAAACGAAUACUCGCUAGGUGUCGGCCACGGUGCGACCGUUGUCGGUGCCGUAGGGAAGCCGUGAAGCGAGCCACCUGGGAAGUACGGCCGCAAGGCUGAAACUUAAAGGAAUUGGCGGGGGAGGCACAACAACGGGUGGAGCUUGCGGUUUAAUUGGAUUCAACGCCGGAAAUCUUACCGGGACCGACAGCAACAUGAAGGCCAAGCUGAAGACUUUGCCGGAUUUAGCUGAGAGGAGGUGCAUGGCGUAGACGUCU
rnacentral:rRNA from 1 species